AAGAUUAAUAUCCGAUGGUAUAUUAAAACCGCAUGGUUUUACUAUUAAAGAAUUUCGGUUAUCGAUGGGGAUGCGUUCCAUUAGUUUGUUGGCGGGGUAACGGCCCACCAAGACUACGAUGGAUAGGGGUUCUGAGAGGAAGGUCCCCCACAUUGGAACUGAGACACGGUCCAAACUCCUACGGGAGGCAGCAGUGAGGAAUAUUGGUCAAUGGACGAGAGUCUGAACCAGCCAAGUAGCGUGAAGGAUGACUGCCCUAUGGGUUGUAAACUUCUUUUAUAUGGGAAUAAAGUAUUCCACGUGUGGGAUUUUGUAUGUACCAUAUGAAUAAGGAUCGGCUAACUCCGUGCCAGCAGCCGCGGUAAUACGGAGGAUCCGAGCGUUAUCCGGAUUUAUUGGGUUUAAAGGGAGCGUAGGUGGAUUGUUAAGUCAGUUGUGAAAGUUUGCGGCUCAACCGUAAAAUUGCAGUUGAAACUGGCAGUCUUGAGUACAGUAGAGGUGGGCGGAAUUCGUGGUGUAGCGGUGAAAUGCUUAGAUAUCACGAAGAACUCCGAUUGCGAAGGCAGCUCACUAGACUGCAACUGACACUGAUGCUCGAAAGUGUGGGUAUCAAACAGGAUUAGAUACCCUGGUAGUCCACACAGUAAACGAUGAAUACUCGCUGUUUGCGACAUACAGUAAGCGGCCAAGCGAAAGCAUUAAGUAUUCCACCUGGGGA
rnacentral:rRNA from 1 species